rnacentral:rRNA from 1 species
UACGUAGGGACCAAGCGUUGUUCGGAUUUACUGGGCGUAAAGGGCGCGUAGGCGGCGCGGUAAGUCACUUGUGAAAUCUCUGAGCUUAACUCAGAACGGCCAAGUGAUACUGCAGUGCUAGAGUGUGGAAGGGGCAAUCGGAAUUCUUGGUGUAGCGGUGAAAUGCGUAGAUAUCAAGAGGAACACCUGAGGUGAAGACGGGUUGCUGGGCUGACACUGACGCUGAGGCGCGAAAGCUAGGGGAGCGAACGGG